UACGGAGGGUGCGAGCGUUGUCCGGGAUCAUUGGGCGUAAAGGGCGCGUAGGUGGCCCGGUCAGUCCGUGGUGAAAGCGCGGGGCUCAACCCCGCGUCGGCCAUGGAUACUGCUGGGCUUGAGCACUGUAGAGGCAGGCGGAAUUCCGGGUGUAGCGGUGGAAUGCGUAGAGAUCCGGAAGAACACCGGUGGCGAAGGCGGCCUGCUGGGCAGUGGCUGACACUGAGGCGCGACAGCGUGGGGAGCAAACAGG
rnacentral:rRNA from 1 species